UGAUGUUUGAAUAUUGAAAAGUAUAGUAAGAAGUCACUAUUAUUUCAAUGUCGUGAGGUAAUGAAGGUAAUAUUAGUAGUACUUCGUCGUAGUGGGAGAAAUCUAAAGAAAAUCAUAGUUCGGCAACAUUCUUGGGAUAGUUCCGGUAACAGGAUCCCUGAAGAGUUUAAUGCCAAACUAGAUAGUUACAACAAAGAACUAGUGGACAAAUAUUGCAUCUGAUGUAACUUGACAAGAUUCUUUAACAAAACCUUAUUUGGUGAAGACUUUUAAUAGUCAUGUAAAAGAACGCCCGAGAAAGUUAUAGAUGCAUGGUUAUGAGUCUAAGUGGGAGAUUGUUGGGGCAUAUACUAUUAACC
rnacentral:lncRNA from 1 species